AUCGACGUAGUUUGAUCAUGGCUCAGAAUCAACGCUGGCGGCGUGCCUCAGACAUGCAAGUCGAACGAUUAAAGCUCUCUUCGGAGAGUGUAUAGAGUGGCGCACGGGUGAGUAACACGUAAGUAAUCUACCCUCGAGUGGGGAAUAACAACCGGAAACGGUUGCUAAUACCGCAUAAUGCAGCGGCACCGCAAGGUGACAGUUGUUAAAGAUUUAUCGCUUGAGGAGGAGCUUGCGGCAGAUUAGCUAGUUGGUAGGGUAACGGCUUACCAAGGCUACGAUCUGUAACCGGUCUAAGAGGACGGUCGGUCACACUGACACUGAAUAACGGGUCAGACUCCUACGGGAGGCAGCAGUCGGGAAUUUUGGGCAAUGGGCGAAAGCCUGACCCAGCAACGCCGCGUGAAGGAUGAAGUAUUUCGGUAUGUAAACUUCGAAAGAAUAGGAAGAAUUAAUGACGGUACUAUUUAUAAGGUCCGGCUAACUACGUG
rnacentral:rRNA from 1 species